UAGGGAAUCUUCCUUCAAUGGGCGAAAGCCUGACGGAGCAACGCCGCGUGGGUGAAGAAGGAUUUCGGUUCGUAAAGCUCUGUUGUUAGGGAAGAAUGAUUGUGUAGUAACUAUACACAGUAGAGACGGUACCUAACCAGAAAGCCACGGCUAACUACGUGCCAGCAGCCGCGGUAAUACGUAGGUGGCAAGCGUUGUCCGGAAUUAUUGGGCGUAAAGCGCGCGCAGGUGGUUUAAUAAGUCUGAUGUGAAAGCCCACGGCUCAACCGUGGAGGGUCAUUGGAAACUGUUAAACUUGAGUGCAGGAGAGAAAAGUGGAAUUCCUAGUGUAGCGGUGAAAUGCGUAGAGAUUAGGGGGAACACCAGUGGCGAAGGCGGCUUUUUGGCCUGUAACUGACACUGAGGCGCGAAAGCGUGGGGAGCAAACAGGAUUAGAUACCCUGGUAGUCCACGCCGUAAACGAUGAGUGCUAAGUGUUGGUCUCAUAAGAGAUCAGUGCUGCAGCUAACGCAUUAAGCACUCCGCCUGGGGAGUACGACCGCAAGGUUG
rnacentral:rRNA from 1 species